rnacentral:rRNA from 1 species
GUACACGCUGUGACUAGCAUAUCAAUAGCGGAGGAAAAGAAACUAACAAGGAUUCCCCUAGUAACGGCGAGUGGAGCGGGAAGAGCUCAAAUUUGAAAUCUUAAAGGGUUUCCCUUUACGAAUUGUAGUUUAAAGAAGUGUUUUCUGUUGAGGUUUUGGUAAAAGUUCUUUGGAAUAGGACAUCAUAGAGGGUGAGAAUCCCGUAUUUGACCUUUACUUUCAACUUUGUGAUACACUUUCAAAGAGUCGGAUUGUUUGGGAAUGCAGUCCAAAAUGGGUGGUAAAUUUCAUCUAAAGCUAAAUAUUGGCGAGAGACCGAUAGCGAACAAGUACCGUGAGGGAAAGAUGAAAAGAACUUUGAAAAGAGAGUUAAACAGUACGUGAAAUUGUCAAAAGGGAAGCGUUUGACAUCAGUGUUGUUUUUCUGAAAAUCAAUUAAAGAACUGUUUAUGCUAAGUUGUUUAGACUUUAUCAGCUAUCUGUUUAGUUUUGAGCUUUUCUUUAAUGCACUUUUCAGUUAACAAGUCAACAUCAAUUUCUUUUGCUGUAAAAAAGCUUGAGGAAGGUGGCUUGAGAUUCGUCUUAAGUGUUUAUAGCCUCUUGCCUAUGCAGUCGGAGAGAUUGAGGUCUGCAGCGUAGAUCCUUCGGGGCUAAAUGCAUUUGUGCUAAGUUAUAACAUUUUAUAGACAACUUGUUGACUAUGAUUUGUCUUGUAGCUUACUCGCUUAUGUUAUUUUACCUACGCUUAGGAUGUUGAAGUCAUCGUAUCGCGC